rnacentral:lncRNA from 1 species
AUUAAAGAGAGAUUUGGUGGGAGAGUGAAAGGUUAGGGAGGAUCCCAGCAUGGGAACACCAAUUUGGGGGGGGGGUAUAGAGACUGAAGAAGAGGGACUUUUUUCAAGUUUCUUUCUAACACAACAUACAGCCACUGUAAUGGUUCCAUGGAUAUUAUAAGCGCUAUUGAAUAAUCCCCUGUAUUAUAACCAAAUUCAAUGAUGAAAUCUCAUAGAGAGAACUGGGUUACAGGUGAAAGGAGCUGGUUGUGGAGUUUUGGCUCCUUCUUUUCUCCACCGAGUGAUUGAAGCGUAUAUUAAUGAUUAUAGGCAUCAUUUUAAGCCGAUUGGGCAUCCUGGGGAGCGAGGAAUAGGACUAAGGAACCCCGAUGGGACAUCUGCUGGCUUCAGACCCAGUAGCACAUUGGCCUGGUAACUCUCAAAGAGCAGACCGACCAAGAAAUUAGCAACGAGGUUGGGAAAGAAAACAAGAAAUGAGGUAACGAUGAUGUAGAAAAUAAACUACCGUUGACGUCUUCCGUUCUGAGUCAAGAAGGCAGCCAUGUUUUUUUUCACCCCUCCACCCCUGUUGGGGAUAUUGGCACGUUGUCAUGACGACAGGGAUGUUCUGCUGAUGAAGUCUCGCUCCUCGUUGUCCAAUCAGAUCGUGGAGUCUAAAACUGCAGUAUGAAACAGGAGAGGACGCACCUAUUCCAAUUGCACAAUGCCGAGAAGGACAGCCCGAUCCUGGACCACCUACGGGCGAAAUGGACGAUUUGUGGGAGGCAGUCAACGGAGCCGCCAUGGUUCAACAAAGCACAACCCAGCGGGGGACGAGGAUGAAGGGCUGCCAGAGCUACCAUGCUGUCCUGCAGAGAUGUGGUGAACCUCAAGAAGCAGAAAACACAUGGGCCAUUGCCCUCCAGCUCUCCUCCAGCUCCCUUCACUACUAUAGCAGGUGACAGAGGAAGAUGGGCAAUCAAACAGCAUAGACAAGGUGUGGAAACAACACAACCACACCUACUGACUGAGGCUGCUGAGGGGAGGACGGC